UACGUAGGGUCCGAGCGUUGUCCGGAAUUAUUGGGCGUAAAGAGCUCGUAGGCGGUUUGUUGCGUCGGCUGUGAAAUCCCGAGGCUCAACCUCGGGUCUGCAGUCGAUACGAGCAAACUAGAGUGCGGUAGGGGUGACUGGAAUUCCUGGUGUAGCGGUGGAAUGCGCAGAUAUCAGGAGGAACACCGAUGGCGAAGGCAGGUCACUGGGCCGCAACUGACGCUGAGGAGCGAAAGCAUGGGGAGCGAACAGG
rnacentral:rRNA from 1 species